UGGGGAAUUUUGGACAAUGGGCGAAAGCCUGAUCCAGCAAUGCCGCGUGUGUGAAGAAGGCCUUCGGGUUGUAAAGCACUUUUGUCCGGAAAGAAAUCCUUGGCUCUAAUACAGUCGGGGGAUGACGGUACCGGAAGAAUAAGCACCGGCUAACUACGUGCCAGCAGCCGCGGUAAUACGUAGGGUGCAAGCGUUAAUCGGAAUUACUGGGCGUAAAGCGUGCGCAGGCGGUUUGCUAAGACCGAUGUGAAAUCCCCGGGCUCAACCUGGGAACUGCAUUGGUGACUGGCAGGCUAGAGUAUGGCAGGAGGGGGGUAGAAUUCCACGUGUAGCAGUGAAAUGCGUAGAGAUGUGGAGGAAUACCGAUGGCGAAGGCAGCCCCCUGGGCCAAUACUGACGCUCAUGCACGAAAGCGUGGGGAGCAAACAGGAUUAGAUACCCUGGUAGUCCACGCCCUAAACGAUGUCAACUAGUUGUUGGGGACUCAUUUCCUUAGUAACGUAGCUAACGCGUGAAGUUGACCGCCUGGGGAGUACGGUCGCAAGAUUAAAACUUAAAGGAAUUGACGGGGUCAUAGCUGUUUCC
rnacentral:rRNA from 1 species